AGCGAACGCUGGCGGCAGGCCUAACACAUGCAAGUCGAACGGACCCUUCGGGGUUAGUGGCGGACGGGUGAGUAACACGUGGGAACGUGCCUUUAGGUUCGGAAUAGCUCCUGGAAACGGGUGGUAAUGCCGAAUGUGCCCUUCGGGGGAAAGAUUUAUCGCCUUUAGAGCGGCCCGCGUCUGAUUGGCUUGUUGGUGGGGUAAUGGCCCACCAAGGCUACGAUCAGUAGCUGGUCUGAGAGGAUGACCAGCCACAUUGGGACUGAGACACGGCCCAAACUCCUACGGGAGGCAGCAGUGGGGAAUCUUGCGCAAUGGGCGAAAGCCUGACGCAGCCAUGCCGCGUGUAUGAUGAAGGUCUUAGGAUUGUAAAAUACUUUCACCGGUGAGGAUAAUGACUGUAGCCGGAGAAGAAGCCCCGGCUAACUUCGUGCCAGCAGCCGCGGUAAUACGAAGGGGGCUAGCGUUGCUCGGAAUUACUGGGCGUAAAGGGAGCGUAGGCGGACAUUUAAGUCGA
rnacentral:rRNA from 1 species